rnacentral:rRNA from 1 species
CCCCCAAUUUUUAAUGGU